rnacentral:rRNA from 1 species
UACCAGCACCCCGAGUGGUCGGACGUUUAUUGGGCCUAAAGCAUCCGUAGCCGGUUCUACAAGUCUUCCGUUAAAUCCAGCUGCUUAACAGAUGGGCUGCGGAAGAUACUAUGGAGCUAGGAGGCGGGAGAGGCAAGCGGUACUCGAUGGGUAGGGGUAAAAUCCGUUGAUCCAUUGAAGACCACCAGUGGCGAAGGCGGCUUGCCAGAACGCGCUCGACGGUGAGGGAUGAAAGCUGGGGGAGCAAACCGG